rnacentral:rRNA from 1 species
GGUCAAGCGGGUGAAAGCGCACGGUGGAUGCCUUGGCAUCAAGGGCCGAAGAAGGGCGUAGCACGGCUACGAUAAGCCUCGGUGAGCUGCCAAACAAGCCAAGCCGGGGAUACCCGAAUGGGGCAACCCGCUCAGGAAAAACCUGAGCACCCCCAGCUGAACACAUAGGCUGGGAGGAGGUAAGCAGGGGAAGUGAAACAUCUCAGUACCCUGAGGAAAAGAAAUUAUUCCCUGAGUUGUGGCGAACGAAAGGGGAAGAGCCUAAACCUGGUAAGCUUAACGGCGUCAGGGCCUAUGUUUACCAGGUGUUGUAAGACAGGUAGGACUGAACCUGAAAUAAGUCGAGGAGUUACCAACCGAACCCUAGUCGAAGGUCUCUGGAAAGAGUAGCCAUAGAGGGUGACAGCCCCGUAGAUGAAAGGGGGAGGCUCCUUACCUGU